rnacentral:rRNA from 1 species
CCUACGGGAGGCAGCAGUGAGGAAUAUUGGUCAAUGGACGAGAGUCUGAACCAGCCAAGUAGCGUGAAGGAUGACUGCCCUAUGGGUUGUAAACUUCUUUUAUAUGGGAAUAAAAUGUUCCACGUGUGGGCUUUUGUAUGUACCAUAUGAAUAAGGAUCGGCUAAAUCCGUGCCAGCAGCCGCGGUAAUACGGGGGAUCCGAGCGUUAUCCGGAUUUAUUGGGGUUAAAGGGUGCGUAGGUGGGUUGUUAAGUCAGUUGUGAAAGUUUGCGGCUCAACCGUAAAAUUGCAGUUGAAACUGGCAGUCUUGAGUGCAGUAGAGGUGGGCGGAAUUCGUGGUGUAGCGGUGAAAUGCUUAGAUAUCACGAAGAACUCCGAUUGCGAAGGCAGCUCACUGGACUGCAACUGACGCUGAGGCUCGAAAGUGUGGGUAUCAAACAGGAUUAGAUACCCGAGUAGUC